CGCGCAGCAGAGGAGCGCAGUCCUGCAGCGCGCCGUGCGCGUCCACGCCAUGUGCGCGUUCCGGAAAAACCCCGGACCGAGACACUUCCUGAGCCAGACUGACUUCUUAGUUUUUUGGGGACGCAGUUACCAAACGGCAGAGGCCACAAGGACUUCAGUUAUGGCUCCUUUCUCGGUCGGGAUUUCAGUGUUUCUCCUGCUCAUCUUCAUGCAGAUGUUAAUACCUUAUUUCUGCUGGGACCUGUUUGCUGACCAGGGAAACAUUAUCAUUCAAAUUCCUUUUCUUCUACCCAUUGUACUUGUGCCCUUUGCUCUGCUCGCCAUGUUGUUUGCAUUUUAUGGCAAAGACAGAUCAGUAUUUCUGUUUAGCCUGGUCUGCCAGGCUACAUCAAGCGCACUCAUCCUGAACUGCAUUACUGUUUUUUUGCUACGCAAUUGGAUAUAUGGGAGCUGGGAACACAUGACUUUCAGUUUCUAUAUCUUUGUGGGUGUGGGAAUUCAGUUAGUUAUUGUAACUGCACUGACCCAUAUGUCUUGGGGGAGGCUGACGCCUGACUGGAAAUAGACGGGUCCAAAUGAGAAGUAAUCCUCGCCUUGUUAUCAAAAGAGGAACUUAAAUCCUGAAGUGCUUUAUGAAGGAAUAAUCAAAAUUGUUUUGUUUUUUUUGCCAAUUAAAAAUGAUUUUGUGACAUGUUCUUUGUUAUGAUUUUACUGAUUUUUUUUUAAAUCAAAUGUUUCAAGAUUGACUUCAAGAACUGACUUUCAGUUUUGCUUUUCUUUUGAUAAAAUUGGAACAAAGUGUACUUGCUUUUUCAUGCUGUAACAAUGUUUUUGAAAUGUAGACAGUGCUUUGUGAAAAUGAAGGCCAGGUUUCUAAAUAAAUAUCUAACUAAAAACCAGAAGUAUGGCCUGCUUUCUGCGAUAUCCAGAGGGUGGAUGUGUGCUAAAGAGAAUGAAAUCCUGUAAAAGAUAGUAAACUAAUACAGUUAGUGCUGACACUGCUUGUUCAAACAUAUCCCUUAGUAUGUACAAAUAACUGCUACUUCAUCAUUUAUCAGCAAACAGCAAAAUACCACGUGAUCAGUGUUAGGGAAAUCCCAAUGAUUUGUGUUAGUUCAGAGUUCACCGCAAUUUUACUCUGUCUUGUCACGUCUCAGACUACAUCAUCUGAUUUGUUUGUUAACAUCUAUACUGUGGAUUAGGGCUGGGUGACAUGGACCGAAAGUCAUAUCUCAGUAUUUUUUUUAGCUGAAUGGUGAUACUCGAUAUAUAUAUCGAUAUUUUUUCCGUGGCUGGAAACUUUCAUAAUCCCACAUUGCACUGCAACAGCUGACACACAUGUCACAACCUGUGCACCACCUCUAACCCUGCUGCUUCGGUUGUUUACACACUAAUCAGUGGUCUAGUGUUGACAACUAAGCAACAUUUUUAGACUCUCUAGCGAUUAGUUUUUUUUUUCUUCCCAAAAAGCAACUAGCGACAAAUCUAGCAACUUUUUCUGGAGUUAUUGGAGACUCUGAGGUGUCGACGUCAACAAGCAGCAAGAGACCUGGACAGAGGGAGAGGAGAAAUAAAAGCAACUGGCGCCUCAAAGGAAGAUAUGUAUAGUCAUUUUAAUGCAAAAUAAACUAUUUUGA